UGUAGCUUAGUUUAAAUAGAAUAGUUAAUUUGCAUUUAACAGGUGAUAUUAAAUCAGCAGCAG
rnacentral:tRNA from 1 species